AUUGAACGCUGGCGGCAGGCCUAACACAUGCAAGUCGAGCGAGCGGAGGACGGGUGAGGACUGUAUGGGGAUCUGCCCGUAAGAGGGGGAUAACAACUGGAAAAGACUGCUAAUACCGCCUAAAGUGCGAUGACGCAUUUGGGAUUAGCUAGUAGGUAAGGUAAUGGCUUACCUAGGCGACGAUCCCUAGCUGGUCUGAGAGGAUGAUCAGCCACACUGGGACUGAGACACGGCCCAGACUCCUACGGGAGGCAGCAGUGGGGAAUAUUGCGCAAUGGGCGCAAGCCUGAUGCAGCCAUGCCGCGUGUGUGAAGAAGGCUCUAGGAUUGUAAAGUACUUUCAGUCGGGAGGCGUUACCGACAGAGGAAGCCCCGGCUAACUCCGUGCCAGCAGCCGCGGUAAUAC
rnacentral:rRNA from 1 species